rnacentral:lncRNA from 1 species
GCGCAUCCAAGGCUCGAGGAGGACAACCGAAGCAAGCUUGAAGAGGUUUGAAUUCAAUCACUUAAGGUGGGGUUUACUUUUAUCUGUAAGCGUAGUUGUUACAUGGUUAUAAUCAUUGUUGUGUUGUGCGUCAUUCAUAUGAACUAAUGGGACCCACAAGGGGUCGGAUCCACAAGGGAUCAAAGAGCUGAACGGCCCACAAGGGGUCAGGUCCACAAGGGACCGAGACUAGUCUCACAAGAUGUCAGCUAAGUGAAAAAUUAUAAGAGUUCAACAUGUUAUGAUUCAUUACACAAUUGGUUAUAACUGCUUGCAGUGUUUACCCCUACUGAGUGUGCUUGCAUACUCAUGCCCUAUUAUUUAUUGAUUCUUUUCAGGUUAAGGAGUUGACGGCAAGACGGCAGACAUGGAGCUCCACAUUCUCCCGUUCUAUUAUAUGAUGAAGUAUUAUAUGUUGAUGUUUUUGGUAAAUAUAUCUUGCUACUAACCAACUUAGCCUCUUCCAAUUUUGGUGGGUCGAGACUUUAUAUAUAUUGGUUUAUGAUCAUGCAUUUUGAUGACGGCUGUGACCGAAUAUAUAUAUUUUGUUUACCGUAUGUGUAGUUACGAGCUGUGCCUCGAACACGUUAAUUAUAAUAUUAAACUUGAUGGUUUUGCAUGUACUCCACCUUUUUAUAUAUAUAAAUAUGAUGCUUAGAUAAAGUUAUUAUUGAAUGUCGUUUAUAUAACUUACAGCUUCCGUUGCCUUUAAAAUAUAUAUAUAGUGUUUUGGCAGGAAUAUUAUUGUAGUUUUAUAGCUU